rnacentral:rRNA from 1 species
AUACGGAGGGUGCAAGCGUUGUUCGGAUUUACUGGGCGUAAAGCGCACGUAGGCGGACUGUCAAGUUGGGUGUGAAAACCAGUGGCUUAACCACUGGCCUGCACUCGAAACUGGUAGUCUUGAGUACCGGAGAGGAUGGCGGAAUUCCUGGUGUAGCGGUGAAAUGCGUAGAUAUCAGGAAGAACACCGGCGGCGAAGGCGGCCAUCUGGACGGAUACUGACGCUCAGGUGCGAAGGCUAGGGGAGCAAACAGGAUUAGAAACCCCGGUAGUCC